GAAAUGCGAUAAGUAGUGUGAAUUGCAGAAUUCAGUGAAUCAUCGAAUCUUUGAACGCACAUUGCGCCCCUUGGUAUUCCAUGGGGCAUGCCUGUUCGAGCGUCAUUUGUACCCUCAAGCUCUGCUUGGUGUUGGGUGUUUGUCCCGUCUCCGCGCGUGGACUCGCCCCAAAGUGAUUGGCAGCCGGCGUACUGGUCCCGGAGCGCAGCACAUGUCGCGCAAACGAGUGCCUUGGUACGGCGGCGUCCAUAAGCCCCUCUCUCACGCUCUUGACCUCGGAUCAGGUAGGGAUACCGCUGAACUUAAGC
rnacentral:misc_RNA from 1 species